AUACGGAGGAUCCGAGCGUUAUCCGGAUUUAUUGGGUUUAAAGGGUGCGUAGGCGGAAUAAUAAGUCAGUUGUGAAAGUCUGUGGCUUAACCAUAGAAUUGCAGUUGAAACUGAAUUUCUUGAGUGUAGAUAAGGAUGGUGGAAUUUGUGGUGUAGCGGUGAAAUGCAUAGAUAUCACGAAGAACUCCAAUUGCGAAGGCAGCCAUCCGGGCUACAACUGACGCUGAGGCUCGAAAGUGCGGGAAUC
rnacentral:rRNA from 1 species